GAUGAAGAACGCAGCGAAAUGCGAUAAGUAAUGCGAAUUGCAGAAUUUCCGUGAGUCAUCGAAUCUUUGAACGCACAUUGCGCCCGCCAGUAUUCUGGCGGGCAUGCCUGUCCGAGCGUCAUUUCAACCCUCGAACCCCUCCGGGGGGUCGGCGUUGGGGAUCGGCCCUGCCUCUUGGCGGUGGCCGUCUCCGAAAUACAGUGGCGGUCUCGCCGCAGCCUCUCCUGCGCAGUAGUUUGCACACUCGCAUCGGGAGCGCGGCGCGUCCACAGCCGUUAAACACCCAACUUCUGAAAUGUUGACCUCGGAUCAGGUAGGAAUACCCGCUGAACUUAAGCAUAUCAAUAAGCGGAGGA
rnacentral:misc_RNA from 1 species